UUUAUGGAGAGUUUGAUCCUGGCUCAGGAUGAACGCUGGCGGCGUGCCUAAUACAUGCAAGUCGAGCGAACGGACGAGAAGCUUGCUUCUCUGAUGUUAGCGGCGGACGGGUGAGUAACACGUGGAUAACCUACCUAUAAGACUGGGAUAACUUCGGGAAACCGGAGCUAAUACCGGAUAAUAUUUUGAACCGCAUGGUUCAAAAGUGAAAGACGGUCUUGCUGUCACUUAUAGAUGGAUCCGCGCUGCAUUAGCUAGUUGGUAAGGUAACGGCUUACCAAGGCAACGAUGCAUAGCCGACCUGAGAGGGUGAUCGGCCACACUGGAACUGAGACACGGUCCAGACUCCUACGGGAGGCAGCAGUAGGGAAUCUUCCGCAAUGGGCGAAAGCCUGACGGAGCAACGCCGCGUGAGUGAUGAAGGUCUUCGGAUCGUAAAACUCUGUUAUUAGGGAAGAACAUAUGUGUAAGUAACUGUGCACAUCUUGACGGUACCUAAUCAGAAAGCCACGGCUAACUACGUGCCAGCAGCCGCGGUAAUACGUAGGUGGCAAGCGUUAUCCGGAAUUAUUGGGCGUAAAGCGCGCGUAGGCGGUUUUUUAAGUCUGAUGUGAAAGCCCACGGCUCAACCGUGGAGGGUCAUUGGAAACUGGAAAACUUGAGUGCAGAAGAGGAAAGUGGAAUUCCAUGUGUAGCGGUGAAAUGCGCAGAGAUAUGGAGGAACACCAGUGGCGAAGGCGACUUUCUGGUCUGUAACUGACGCUGAUGUGCGAAAGCGUGGGGAUCAAACAGGAUUAGAUACCCUGGUAGUCCACGCCGUAAACGAUGAGUGCUAAGUGUUAGGGGGUUUCCGCCCCUUAGUGCUGCAGCUAACGCAUUAAGCACUCCGCCUGGGGAGUACGACCGCAAGGUUGAAACUCAAAGGAAUUGACGGGGACCCGCACAAGCGGUGGAGCAUGUGGUUUAAUUCGAAGCAACGCGAAGAACCUUACCAAAUCUUGACAUCCUUUGACAACUCUAGAGAUAGAGCCUUCCUCUUCGGGGGACAAAGUGACAGGUGGUGCAUGGUUGUCGUCAGCUCGUGUUGUGAGAUGUUGGGUUAAGUCCCGCAACGAGCGCAACCCUUAAGCUUAGUUGCCAUCAUUAAGUUGGGCACUCUAAGUUGACUGCCGGUGACAAACCGGAGGAAGGUGGGGAUGACGUCAAAUCAUCAUGCCCCUUAUGAUUUGGGCUACACACGUGCUACAAUGGACAAUACAAAGGGCAGCGAAACCGCGAGGUCAAGCAAAUCCCAUAAAGUUGUUCUCAGUUCGGAUUGUAGUCUGCAACUCGACUACAUGAAGCUGGAAUCGCUAGUAAUCGUAGAUCAGCAUGCUACGGUGAAUACGUUCCCGGGUCUUGUACACACCGCCCGUCACACCACGAGAGUUUGUAACACCCGAAGCCGGUGGAGUAACCUUUUAGGAGCUAGCCGUCGAAGGUGGGACAAAUGAUUGGGGUGAAGUCGUAACAAGGUAGCCGUAUCGGAAGGUGCGGCUGGAUCACCUCCUUUCU
rnacentral:rRNA from 1 species